rnacentral:rRNA from 1 species
ACGCUAGCUACAGGCUUAACACAUGCAAGUCGAGGGGAAACGGCAUUAAGUGCUUGCACUUUUUGGACGUCGACCGGCGCACGGGUGAGUAACGCGUAUCCAACCUUCCCAUGACUAAGGGAUAACCUGCCGAAAGGCAGACUAAUACCUUAUGGUCUUCACUGACGGCAUCAGAUGUGAAGUAAAGAUUUAUCGGUUAUGGAUGGGGAUGCGUCUGAUUAGCUUGUUGGCGGGGUAACGGCCCACCAAGGCAACGAUCAGUAGGGGUUCUGAGAGGAAGGUCCCCCACAUUGGAACUGAGACACGGUCCAAACUCCUACGGGAGGCAGCAGUGAGGAAUAUUGGUCAAUGGGCGAGAGCCUGAACCAGCCAAGUAGCGUGCAGGAUGACGGCCCUAUGGGUUGUAAACUGCUUUUGUAUGGGGAUAAAGUCAGUCACGUGUGAUUGUUUGCAGGUACCAUACGAAUAAGGACCGGCUAAUUCCGUGCCAGCAGCCGCGGUAAUACGGAAGGUCCGGGCGUUAUCCGGAUUUAUUGGGUUUAAAGGGAGCGUAGGCUGGAGAUUAAGUGUGUUGUGAAAUGUAGACGCUCAACGUCUGACUUGCAGCGCAUACUGGUUUCCUUGAGUACGCACAACGUUGGCGGAAUUCGUCGUGUAGCGGUGAAAUGCUUAGAUAUGACGAAGAACUCCGAUUGCGAAGGCAGCUGACGGGAGCGCAACUGACGCUGAAGCUCGAAGGUGCGGGUAUCGAACAGGAUUAGAUACCCUGGUAGUCCGCACAGUAAACGAUGGAUGCCCGCUGUUGGUACCUGGUAUCAGCGGCUAAGCGAAAGCAUUAAGCAUCCCACCUGGGGAGUACGCCGGCAACGGUGAAACUCAAAGGAAUUGACGGGGGCCCGCACAAGCGGAGGAACAUG